GCCUGGCUGGCUCAGUCGGUGGAGCAUGUGACUCUUGAUCUCGGGGUCGUGAGUUUGAGCCCCAUGUUGGGUG
rnacentral:tRNA from 1 species